UGAAUAUGCACGAAGCUAAGUCAAGCUCGAUAAUUCAGUUCGGUUCGGUUCGAAAUUCGGAGGGUAAUAAGCAACUACGGCUAAACAGAUCCAUGCUGGGCGUUUCUCAGUUGUAAUUAUCCACUUCAGUGCUCCGUGUCAGCAAAAACAACAACACCAAACGCAUCCAGUGACGGGGACAGACAAAGAAAGCCUCUGGCUUGCCGCCUCUGGCAAAAAUGCUGCCAGUGAAACAAAAUACGCUUCGAUAAUCACGUUGGUCUCAUCAUUUUGGCACAGUAACACUGGCAAACGCCAGACUGGAUUGGUCAUGUUGGCACAGUCCGGCAUUGGUUCUGGGCCACAAGCCACCGUGCUGCUUUAGCUGCCCACAGCAAAGAUGGCAUCUUACUAACCACUAAAUCACGCUGAUUAAAGAAAUCAUUUUUCGUGCAA